CGUUUAGUUCUUUCACUCUAGAUGGGAUUUGCUUUGUGUUUCAACAUCUUUGCUGUUAUCAUUUCGUCUGUUGCUUCGAUCUUUUUGAUCAUAAUUACUAUUGCCAUGAAUGAAUUCGCGAGCGAUUACAAGAGCCACUGCAUCGAUGUCGGAGAUCAAUGCGAAUGCUUUUAUAGUGAAUAUGAUCAUAGCCAUGAAACCGAUUAUGAUGUAUCAUGUAAGUAUAAAAGGUUGGUUUUCACAGGAUUUUAAUUGCUAGGUCACGGGCUUUAGGACCAAUUUAAUUUGACAACAAUAGCAUUCUAUCAAAUCAAGCGGUCAUAGUGAAGUGUCGGGCACCUGAACUAUUCAAUAUAUAUCUUGCUUGACAGUGCUUCUACUAUACCGGCUGCGAGGUACGUGCUGAAAAAUUUUUUUCCAAGGGCUCAGCAGCGGCCAAAGGCCGAGGGAAAAUAUUUUUAGUACGGACCGACCUAAACGCUAAAUAACGUGUUUAUUUUUUUAAUUUGAUGGUUCAUGGUUAUACCGGUAAUGAUUCCGAUAAAAUUCCAGUUGCAAAGUACAUUUGAGAUCAGUUGCGUCUGUUCCGAACGAUCUUAUUGAUCGCAAAUAUUGAUUUGGCACAGAAUGAUCCCAAAGAUCCAUUAGGGACCGGUCAUAAAGUGAAAGGGGGGUGGGCUGGGAAAAAUAGGGGGUGGCUCACUAUUUUUGAGCACGGUUGAAGGGGUGGUCAUCGAAAGUUAAGUGCAAUCAUAAGGGUUGGCCAUGUAAAAAUAUGCAGAAGAUUGGACCACAGUCAUUUUUUUGUGUUAAAAAUUUCCGCGCAAAGAACAAGAUACCUGUUUUUUGGGCUAAGUACCGAAAUUUGGUGUGAAAAAUUAAGAUAAAGUCAAUUGCAACAUACUCGUCCGGAAAAAUUUUUACCUAAAAAAGUUGUCGACGGGGUGGGGG